ensembl:lncRNA
GACAGAGCAAGAGGGCAGAUGGGAGAGAUGCUUAAGAGGAUUCAUCAUAUGGUGGGAAAGAUAGACGGAGAAAAAAGUAAUUACACCACGAUGUAAGGGUCCAAAACAAGGGGGCUUCCCAGGUGGCUCAGUGGUAAAGAAUCCGAUGCCAAUGCGGGAGACGGAGGCGAUGGGGGUUCCAUCCCUGGGUCUGGAAGAUCCCCUGUUGGAAGAAAUGGCAACCUACUCCUGUGUUCUUGCCUGGAAAAUCCCACGGAUAGAGGAGUCUGGCGGGUUACAGUCCGUGGAGUUGCAAAGAAUUGGACACAGCUGAGCACACACACACAUCACAAGUAUGUGUUACUUUAAUUUUUUUUUAAAAAAG